rnacentral:rRNA from 1 species
AACGAACGCUGGCGGCAUGCCUAACACAUGCAAGUCGAACGAGACCUUCGGGUCUAGUGGCGCACGGGUGCGUAACGCGUGGGAACCUGCCCUGAGGUUCGGAAUAACUCCCCGAAAGGGGUGCUAAUACCGGAUAAUGUCUUCGGACCAAAGAUUUAUCGCCUUUGGAUGGGCCCGCGUUGGAUUAGCUAGUUGGUAGGGUAAAAGCCUACCAAGGCGACGAUCCAUAGCUGGUCUGAGAGGAUGAUCAGCCACACUGGGACUGAGACACGGCCCAGACUCCUACGGGAGGCAGCAGUGGUGAAUAUUGGACAAUGGGCGAAAGCAUGAUCCAGCAAUGCCGCGUGAGUGAUGAAGGCCUUAGGGUUGUAAAGCUCUUUUACCCGGGAUGAUAAUGACAGUACCGGGAGAAUAAGCUCCGGCUACCUCCGU